GGUCCAGGCAACUGCCAGUGUUGUGGAGGUGUGUCCCGGGCUCACACCUGCCAGACCCUUUGUGUGGCUGCAGAGGAGGAGGAGUCGGCACCCACCCGGGCGGUGUACGAGUUGCCGGAGAUGUCCCCUGUCCCAGCUGCUGCCCCAGAGGACCAGGGGAAGAGCUGAGGGCGAUUGCAGUAACUCUGGGCACCUAGACCCAUUGCCUUGUAGAGUAUUUGUCCACCUUUGGUUUGUUUCUUGGAUAUGUCACUGUAGUUACAUUGUUUUUUGCACAUCACACCUUCACACACAGCCAUCCACCAUCCUGACACUACUGAAAUCACUGAUCAUAGCCCAUACUUUAACCCUUUUAUUUUAGUACAAUUGUUAAUUUGCCUUGUUUUGGAUUAAAUAGACCUAUUUUUUGUAUCCCUGUUUGUUGUGGGCUUUUGAGGCAGGUCGUAACAUUAUGCAUACUUUUGUUGUUCGUCGUACUUAUCUGUCUGUUGAGUCUUAUAUAGAUAUUGUAAACAGGUUAUUUUACUUAUUUUAUGGUGUUUAUAAAUGUUAAUUUGAAAAGAGCUUGAAGAGUAAAUAUUUUAUAUAAAAUGUGUAAAUGUAAAUGCGUUACGUAUGUGUGUAAAUAGUAGAGAAUUGAAUUGGAUUUGUGCAUUUUAUAUUAAAUAAAUUUGGACUACUCCCAAUUCCUCUUCUUUCCCUGGGAG